rnacentral:rRNA from 1 species
CCUACGGGCGGCUGCAGUGGGGAAUAUUGGACAAUGGGGGGAACCCUGAUCCAGCCAUGCCGCGUGUGUGAAGAAGGCCCUCGGGUUGUAAAGCACUUUCAGUGAGGAAGAACGCCUGGUGGUUAAUACCCAUCAGGAAAGACAUCACUCACAGAAGAAGUACCGGCUAACUCCGUGCCAGCAGCCGCGGUAAUACGGAGGGUGCGAGCGUUAAUCGGAAUUACUGGGCGUAAAGCGCGCGUAGGUGGCUUGAUAAGCCGGUUGUGAAAGCCCCGGGCUCAACCUGGGAACGGCAUCCGGAACUGUCAAGCUAGAGUGCAGGAGAGGAAGGUAGAAUUCCCGGUGUAGCGGUGAAAUGCGUAGAGAUCGGGAGGAAUACCAGUGGCGAAGGCGGCCUUCUGGACUGACACUGACACUGAGGUGCGAAAGCGUGGGUAGCAAACAGGAUUAGAUACCCGAGUAGUC